rnacentral:rRNA from 1 species
CCUACGGGCGGCAGCAGUGGGGAAUAUUGGACAAUGGGGGCAACCCUGAUCCAGCCAUGCCGCGUGUGUGAAGAAGGCCCUCGGGUUGUAAAGCACUUUCAGUGAGGAAGAACGCCUGGUGGUUAAUACCCAUCAGGAAAGACAUCACUCACAGAAGAAGCACCGGCUAACUCCGUGCCAGCAGCCGCGGUAAUACGGAGGGUGCGAGCGUUAAUCGGAAUUACUGGGCGUAAAGCGCGCGUAGGUGGCUUGAUAAGCCGGUUGUGAAAGCCCCGGGCUCAACCUGGGAACGGCAUCCGGAACUGUCAAGCUAGAGUGCAGGAGAGGAAGGUAGAAUUCCCGGUGUAGCGGUGAAAUGCGUAGAGAUCGGGAGGAAUACCAGUGGCGAAGGCGGCCUUCUGGACGGACACUGACACUGAGGUGCGAAAGCGUGGGUAGCAAACAGGAUUAGAUACCCGAGUAGUC